GCGAGCAACCCUGAGUAGUAGAUUUUGAGCGUGUUCAACGCAUAUUUCUUUAUUUUUCUAUAGUUUAAGUACUAAAAAUUGAUUGCCAUCACCACGAUUACACGUCUGUUUUUAACCGACUCGGCCUUGACUCGCGUUUUACGACUUUUUACAAAAGCUUUUAUCCAGACGUAUCGACUCUAUAUACUUAUACUUUUAAAUAUUACCACUCGCCUGUCACGUCAAUCAAUUUAUUUUUCCUUACACAUUUUUCCUCCGCUAACUACAUAAUAUGGUCAAAAUAA